rnacentral:rRNA from 1 species
CGCGCAGGCGGCUCUGAAAGUCAGAUGUGAAAGCCCCGGGCUUAACCUGGGAAUUGCAUUUGAUACUCUGGAGCUAGAGUACGGGAGAGGAGAGUGGAAUUCCCAGUGUAGAGGUGAAAUUCGUAGAUAUUGGGAAGAACACCGGUGGCGAAGGCGGCUCUCUGGACCGUAACUGACGCUGAGGCGCGAAAGCGUGGGGAGCAAACAGGAUUAGAUACCCUGGUAGUCCACGCCGUAAACGAUGUGCGCUAGACGUUGGAAGGCUUAGCUUUCCGGUGUCGCAGCUAACGCGAUAAGCGCACCGCCUGGGAGUACGGUCGCAAGAUUAAA